CGGUUCUGCAAGUCCUCCGUUAAAUCCACCUGCUCAACAGAUGGGCUGCGGGGGAUACCGCAGAGCUAGGAGGCGGGAGAGGCAAACGGUACUCAGUGGGUAGGGGUAAAAUCCUUUGAUCUACUGAAGACCACCAGUGGCGAAGGCGGUUUGCCAGAACGCGCUCGACGGUGAGGGAUGAAAGCUGGGGGAGCAAACCGGAUUAGAUACCCGGGUAGUCCCAGCUGUAAACGAUGCAGACUCGGUGAUGGGUUGGCUUCGAGCCAACCCAGUGCCGCAGGGAAGCCGUUAAGUCUGCCGCCUGGGGA
rnacentral:rRNA from 1 species